rnacentral:rRNA from 2 species
CACGUAGGGGGCGAGCGUUGUCCGGAUUCAUUGGGCGUAAAGAGCUCGUAGGCGGCUCGGUAAGUCGGGUGUGAAAUCUUCAGGCUCAACCUGGGGAGGCCACUCGAUACUGCCGUGGCUAGAGUCCAGUAGGGGAGUGUGGAAUUCUCGGUGUAGCGGUGAAAUGCGCAGAUAUCGGGAGGAACACCGGCGGCGAAGGCGGCACUCUGGGCUGGUACUGACGCUGAGGAGCGAAAGCGUGGGUAGCAAACAGG